AUUGAACGCUGGCGGCAGGCCUAACACAUGCAAGUCGAACGAGUGGCGGACGGGUGAGUAAUGUCUGGGAAACUGCCUGAUGGAGGGGGAUAACUACUGGAAACGGUAGCUAAUACCGCAUACCAUCGGAUGUGCCCAGAUGGGAUUGGCUUGUUGGUGGGGUAACGGCUCACCAAGGCGACGAUCCCUAGCUGGUCUGAGAGGAUGACCAGCCACACUGGAACUGAGACACUUGGUCGACUCCUACGGGAGGCAGCAGUGGGGAAUAUGGCACAAUGGGCGCAAUCCUGAUACAGCCAUGCCGCGUGUAUGAAGAAGGCCUUCGGGUUGUAAAGUACUUUCAGCGGGGAGGCGUUACCCGCAGAAGAAGCACCGGCUAACUCCGUGCCAGCAGCCGCGGUAAUAC
rnacentral:rRNA from 1 species